rnacentral:rRNA from 1 species
AGUGGGGAAUUUUCCGCAAUGGGCGCAAGCCUGACGGAGCAAUACCGCGUGAGGGAGGAAGGCUCUUGGGUCGUAAACCUCUUUUAUCAGGGAAGAAAUCAAUGACGGUACCUGAUGAAUCAGCAUCGGCUAACUCCGUGCCAGCAGCCGCGGUAAUACGGAGGACGCAAGCGUUAUCCGGAAUUAUUGGGCGUAAAGCGUCCGCAGGUGGUUUUGAAAGUUUGCUGUCAAAGCGUCUAGCUUAACUAGAUACAGGCAGUGAAAACUACAAGACUAGAGUUUGGUAGGGGUCACGGGAGUUCCCAGUGUAGCGGUGAAAUGCGUAGAGAUUGGGAAGAACACCAGCGGCGAAAGCGCGUGACUGGGCCUGAACUGACACUCAUGGACGAAAGCUAGGGGAGCGAAAGGGAUUAGAUACCCCUGUAGUCCUAGCCGUAAACGAUGACAACUAGGUGUUGCCCGUAUCGAC